rnacentral:rRNA from 1 species
AGAGUUUGAUCCUGGCUCAGGAUGAACGCUGGCGGCGUGCCUAACACAUGCAAGUCGAGCGCGAUUAGACGGACUGGAGACUUCGGUCAAAGGGAAGACUAUGAAAGGGCGGACGGGUGAGUAACGCGUGAGCAACCUGCCCUGUACAGGGGGAUAGCCACUGGAAACGGUGAUUAAUACCCCAUAAACCCACAAGACCGCAUGGUCAAAUGGGCAAAGCCACAAGCGGUACAGGAUGGGCUCGCGUCUGAUUAGCUAGUUGGUGAGGUAACGGCUCACCAAGGCGACGAUCAGUAGCCGACCUGAGAGGGUGAACGGCCACACUGGAACUGAGACACGGUCCAGACUCCUACGGGAGGCAGCAGUGGGGAAUAUUGCACAAUGGGCGCAAGCCUGAUGCAGCAACGCCGCGUGAGUGAUGAAGGCCUUCGGGUCGUAAAACUCUGUCCUUGGGGAAAGAAGUGACGGUACCUUAGGAGGAAGCCCCGGCUAACUACGUGCCAGCAGCCGCGGUAAUACGUAGGGGGCAAGCGUUAUCCGGAAUUACUGGGCGUAAAGGGUGCGUAGGCGGCUCUUUAAGUCAGAUGUGAAAACCCAGGGCUUAACCUUGGGAGUGCAUUUGAAACUGAAGGGCUUGAGUGCAGGAGAGGAAAGUGGAAUUCCUAGUGUAGCGGUGAAAUGCGUAGAUAUUAGGAGGAAUACCAGUGGCGAAGGCGACUUUCUGGACUUAUACUGACGCUGAGGAACGAAAGCGUGGGGAGCAAACAGGAUUAGAUACCCUGGUAGUCCACGCCGUAAACGAUGAGUGCUAGGUGUUGGGGGUCAAACCUCGGUGCCGCAGCUAACGCAUUAAGCACUCCGCCUGGGGAGUACGUACGCAAGUAUGAAACUCAAAGGAAUUGACGGGGACCCGCACAAGCAGCGGAGCAUGUGGUUUAAUUCGAAGCAACGCGAAGAACCUUACCAGGGCUUGACAUGCCAUUGACCGGUCUAGAGAUAGAUCUUUACCUUCGGGUACAAUGGACACAGGUGGUGCAUGGUUGUCGUCAGCUCGUGUCGUGAGAUGUUGGGUUAAGUCCCGCAACGAGCGCAACCCUUGCCUUUAGUUGCCAUCAUUAAGUUGGGCACUCUAGAGGGACUGCCGAUGAUAAAUCGGAGGAAGGUGGGGAUGACGUCAAAUCAUCAUGCCCUUUAUGUCCUGGGCUACACACGUGCUACAAUGGUCGGUACAACGAGUUGCUACCUAGUGAUAGGACGCUAAUCUCUAAAAGCCGAUCCCAGUUCGGAUUGUAGGCUGCAACUCGCCUACAUGAAGUUGGAGUUGCUAGUAAUCGCGAAUCAGAACGUCGCGGUGAAUGCGUUCCCGGGUCUUGUACACACCGCCCGUCACACCAUGGGAGUAGGCAAUACCCGAAGCCAGUGAGCUAACCAGUAAUGGAGGCAGCUGUCGAAGGUAGGGUCAAUGACUGGGGUGAAGUCGUAACAAGGUAACC